rnacentral:rRNA from 1 species
GGAUUGACGGACUGAAGGCUCUUUCUCGAUUCCGUGGAAAGUGGUGCAUGGUCCGUUUUUGGUUGGUGGAUCGAUCCGUCUGGUUAAUUCCGUUAAACGAACGAGACCUCGGCACUCCGAAUAGCGCGGCGGACGUCGCGGCCUCCGGGCCGUCUUCCGCACGAGCUUCUUAGAGGGACCCGUCCCCCGGCCGGGGAAGGAGGUGCGAGGCAACGACAGGUCUGUGAUGCCCUUAGAUGUUCUGGGCCGCACGCGCAUUACACUGACGCGUCCAACGGGUGACUCCCGACCCGAAGGGGCCGGGGAAUCCGCAAGGCGCGUCGUGAUGGGGAUUGAACGUUGCAAUUGUUGUUCACGAACGAGGAAUUCCUAGUAGGCGCGGGUCAUCAACCCGCGCCGAUUACGUCCCUGCCCUUUGUACAC